rnacentral:sRNA from 1 species
UUGGUGGUCAGGGCCCCAUGGCGCUGUCCUGGCUGCAGCGCGUCGAGCUUGCGCUCUUUGCUGCCGCCUUCCUGUGCGGGGCCGUGGCGGCCGCGGCGAUGACUCGGACCCAGCAGCUGCAUCGAGGACUCCCACAGAGGUGCUAUAGGGCUGCGCAUUGCACUGGCCAUCUCAGCUAUAGCCGUCUUCCUGGUCUUGGUGUCUGCCUGUAUCCUUCGAUUUGGCACCAGGUCUCUCUGCAACUCCAUCAUCUCCUUGAACACUACAAUUAGCUGUUCUGAAGCCCAGAAAAUUCCAUGGACACCCCCUGGAACUGCUCUGCAGUUUUACUCCAACCUACACAAUGCUGAAGUGAGACCCAAGGAUAGGAGGAAAGAUUGACAUAAGUAUCUGUAGCUGUGUGGGUGCUCACCAGUGUAUUGUGAGCUUGGCUUACCAGUGAGAGGAGCUGAAGGGGUUGUCAGCUUAAAAUUCAGCAGUUCAGAGUGGUGUGUGGGUGGGAAGGACUGGAUUUGAAAUGGUCCCACUCCUGACAAUCCUGUCCCUGUCUCCUACAGACCUCUUCUUGGGUGAAUUUGGUAUUGUGGUGUGUGGUCUUGGUGCUCCAGGUCGUGCAGUGGAAGUCUGAAGCCACCCCAUACCGGCCUCUGGAGAGGGGUGACCCUGAGUGGAGCUCUGAGACAGAUGCUCUCGUUGGGUCACGCCUUUCCCAUUCCUGAAGAAUAAGCAGAGUGCUUCCUGCAGCCGAAGACUCCAUGCCCAAGUGCCUGUAAUCCCCCCCCACAAGGCCCUGUUUAUGUUGGGAGUCUUAGUUUUCCUUUCGGCAGGGGUAGGGGGGG